GUGUGUGUGCGUGUGCGUGUGUGCGUGCAUGAAGGUGCAUGGAUGUCCAUACAUUUGAACGGCUAUUUUACGACAACAUUUGACACAUAUUGUUCUCCUCCAGAGUGACUUCACCGCUCAAACUUUCCACUUGUGUGAUCGCCUUACUCCAGCAAACAGAUCUGUUUGUUUGGAGUCGCUGUACACCAGCUCCGAACCAGGGAGAAACUAAUACCCUGGACCCGAGUUACAGAGUUAACUGUCCACAUUACACCGGCUGUCGGAAGAUGAUCCACAGCCUACCUGGGGACACACUUAUCUUUAGAGAAGCAUCUCCCCCAGAACGAGUCCUCAGCAGAACGAGUUCAUCCUUCAGGGCAUCGGCCUUAUUUGCUUAAGGUUUCUAUGUAUGGGUUUUCAGCCUCACAGAUUAAAGCUGAGAUUUCAACUUCAAUGGGACCUUUACGUUUGAUGUAGGUAACAGGUAACUAUAGACUUCAAGGUAUGUAUAAACACGGACGGCUGCUUUCACUUUAGUCUUUAGUUAGUGUUGCCAGUUUCAGUUAGUUUCAAAAUAACCUCCCAAACACAAUAUUUUAAUUGGUCAAUUUAAAUAUUUGUGUGUUAAAAAUACAUGUUAUGCAUAACUUGACAGCCACUACAAACUCCGUCUUUCAAACAACUAACAAGGCUGAUGAACAGGUUUAUUGAAAUUGGAAAGCUUUAAAUAGUAGUGUUCUUGAUCUUUUACUUCUGGUGCUGCAUAAGGAGUAUCUGUUUUGCAAUCAUAUGCCUUAUUCACAUGUGACUGGUUUACCUAUAGGCCUCCUGUAACCUUGGAUACAGCCUUCUGUCUGUGUGUGUGGCAGUAAACGUGACAGAUAACCAGAGGCAGUGACUUGUGAACAUUAACAGACCAUAUCCACUGAAAUGAAAGAAAGCAGAAAUGCGAUCCGGGAGAGAGAGAGAGCUAACUUGCUGAAGCGGCUGCCAUCGCGUCAUAUGGUUUAUGAUGUUAUACGACGCUGCAGAGCCAAGGAAAAACCCUCCAUCUGUCGGACGAAUCAUUCAAUUAUAUUUGCCAGUAUAUUCGCAUGAACAGCUCAUCUGACAUGUUGUGGGUGUUAACGGACUUCUUUAUAACUACAACAGAAUCACUUGAGAGGGUUUAGUUUGUUUUGCUGACAUUACUCAAUAUUUAAUCCAAUGCCCUGCCACAGUUGGCAUUGCGAGUCUUGUGUCGACCUCAACCGAAUGCCGGCCAGGUUUGGGGGCUUAUCAAGGUUUAGAACAGAGGUCUCCAUUGCACAACCUUCCCCACUGGGCCAGAUGUUUCCAGGGACUACUGCAGCUCCUCAGUGUGCUGGCCGAUGUGUGAUCUCUAAUCAGAUGAGUGCAGGGUUUCCUUUGAACGAAGGAGACCUGUGGUGGUGAAUCCCUGAACUCUCACUCUCCUCUACAAGUGGCACUGGCGUAGCAGCUCAACUGGGUCGGCUGCUGGGCACGGA
ensembl:lncRNA